CGGUUGAUCCUGCCGGAGGUCACUGCUAUUGGGAUUCGAUUAAGCCAUGCGAGUCGAGAGGGUUCGGCCCUCGGCUGACGGCUCAGUAACACGUGGAUAAUCUACCCUUAGGUGGAGGAUAAUCUCGGGAAACUGAGGAUAAUACUCCAUAGAUCUAGGAUGCUGGAAUGCAUCUAGAUUGAAAGCUCCGGCGCCUAAGGAUGAGUCUGCGGACUAUCAGGUUGUAGUCAGGGUAAAGACCUGACUAGCCUACGACGGAUAUGGGUUGUGAGAGCAAUAACCCAGAGACGAUAUCUGAGACACGAUAUCGGGCCCUACGGGGCGCAGCAGGCGCGAAAACUUCACACUGUGCGAAAGCACGAUGAGGGAAUCCCAAGUGCUUGCACGUAAGUGUAAGCUGUUUCUUUGUUUAAAAAGCAAAGAGAGGAAGGGCUGGGUAAGACGGGUGCCAGCCGCCGCGGUAAUACCUGCAGCUCAAGUGGUGACCGCUAUUAUUGGGCCUAAAACGUUCGUAGCCGGUUUAGUAAAUGCCUGGGUAAAUCGUGUAGCUUAACUAUACGAAUUCCGGGUAGACUGCUAAGCUUGGGACCGGGAGAAGCUAGAGGUACUCCUGGGGUAGAGGUGAAAUUCUGUAAUCCUAGGGGGACCACCAGUGGCGAAGGCGUCUAGCUAGAACGGGUCUGACGGUGAGGAACGAAACCCUGGGGCGCAAACCGGAUUAGAUACCCGGGUAGUCCAGGGUGUAAACGAUGCUUGCUAGAUGUUAGUUGGGCCAUGAGCCCAACUAGUGUCGUAGGGAAGUUGUUAAGCAAGCCGCCUGGGAAGUACGGUCGCAAGACUAAAACUUAAAGGAAUUGGCGGGGGAGCAC
rnacentral:rRNA from 1 species